GAUGAACGCUAGCGGCAGGCCUAACACAUGCAAGUCGAGGGGCAGCACGAUUGAGCUUGCUUAAUUGGUGGCGACCGGCGCACGGGUGCGUAACGCGUAUGCAACCUACCUUAUACUGGGGUAUAGCCCGGAGAAAUUCGGAUUAAUCCCCCAUAGUAAUCAUGAUUCGCAUGUUUUAUGAUUUAAAGGUUACGGUAUAAGAUGGGCAUGCGUCCUAUUAGCUAGAUGGUGAGGUAACGGCUCACCAUGGCGACGAUAGGUAGGGGGCCUGAGAGGGUGGUCCCCCACACUGGUACUGAGACACGGACCAGACUCCUACGGGAGGAAGCAGUGAGGAAUAUUGGUCAAUGGGCGCAAGCCUGAACCAGCCAUGCCGCGUGCAAGAAGACGGUCCUAUGGAUUGUAAACUGCUUUUAUUUGGGAAUAAACUCUGAUACGUGUAUCAGCCUGAAGGUACCAAAUGAAUAAGCACCGGCUAACUCCGUGCCAGCAGCCGCCGUAAUAC
rnacentral:rRNA from 1 species